GAAGGGAAGGGGCAGUUUACUGCCACGGAACAUUUUUUACUUUAGUGGCGGACGGGUGAGUAACGCGUGGGUAACCUGCCUUAUACAGGGGGAUAACACUUAGAAAUAGGUGCUAAGACCGCAUAAGCGCCCAGGGCCGCAUGGCCCAGGGUGAAAAACUCUGGUGGUAUAAGAUGGGCCCGCGUCUGAUUAGCCAGUUGGCAGGGUAACGGCCUACCAAAGCGACGAUCAGUAGCCGGCCUGAGAGGGUGGACGGCCACAUUGGGACUGAGACACGGCCCAAACUCCUACGGGAGGCAGCAGUGGGGGAUAUUGCACAAUGGGGGAAACCCUGAUGCAGCGACGCCGCGUGAGUGAAGAAGUAUUUCGGUAUGUAAAGCUCUAUCAGCAGGGAAGAAAGAAGACGGUACCUGAGUAAGAAGCCCCGGCUAACUACGUGCCAGCAGCCGCGGUAAUACGUAGGGGGCAAGCGUUAUCCGGAUUUACUGGGUGUAAAGGGAGCGUAGACGGCAAGGCAAGCCUGGAGUGAAAGGCGGGGGCCCAACCCCCGGACUGCUCUGGGAACUGUCUAGCUAGAGUGCAGGAGGGGUAAGUGGAAUUCCUAGUGUAGCGGUGAAAUGCGUAGAUAUUAGGAGGAACACCAGUGGCGAAGGCGGCUUACUGGACUGUAACUGACGUUGAGGCUCGAAAGCGUGGGGAGCAAACAGGAUUAGAUACCCUGGUAGUCCACGCCGUAAACGAUGAUCACUAGGUGUCGGGUGUUAAAGGAACGCUCGGUGCC
rnacentral:rRNA from 1 species